UCGAAAACUCUGCGAGCGUCU
rnacentral:miRNA from 1 species